GGAGAGUUUGAUCCUGGCUCAGGAUGAACGCUAGCGGCAGGCUUAAUACAUGCAAGUCGAGGGGCAGCAGGGAUAGCAAUAUUCGCUGGCGACCGGCGCACGGGUGCGUAACACGUAUACAAUCUGCCUUUAACAGGGGGAUAGCCCGGAGAAAUCCGGAUUAAUACCCCAUAACACUCGGUGUGGCAUCACACUGGGUUAAAAGCUCCGGCGGUUAAAGAUGAGUAUGCGUCUGAUUAGCUAGUUGGUGAGGUAACGGCUCACCAAGGCGACGAUCAGUAGGGGAUCUGAGAGGAUUAACCCCCACACGGAUACUGAGACACGGAUCCGACUCCUACGGGAGGCAGCAGUAAGGAAUAUUGGACAAUGCCCGCAAGGGUGAUCCAGCCAUGCCGCGUGCAGGAAGACGGCCCUAUGGGUUGUAAACUGCUUUUACACCGGAGAAAACCCCACUACGUGUAGUGGGCUGAUAGUAUGGUGAGAAUAAGCAUCGGCUAACUUCGUGCCAGCAGCCGCGGUAAGACGAAGGAUGCAAGCGUUAUCCGGAUUCAUUGGGUUUAAAGGGAGCGUAGGUGGCCUUAUAAGUCAGUGGUGAAAUCUCUGGGCUUAACCCAGAAAUUGCCAUUGAUACUGUAGGGCUUGAGUAUAGUUGCCGUUGGCGGAAUAUGACAUGUAGUGGUGAAAUACAUAGAGAUGUCAUAGAACACCGAUUGCGAAGGCAGCUGACGAAACUAUAACUGACACUGAGGCUCGAAAGUGUGGGGAUCAAACAGGAUUAGAUACCCUGGUAGUCCACACUGUAAACGAUGAUUACUCGCUGCUAGAGGGCAACUUUUAGUGGCUUAGCGAAAGCGAUAAGUAAUCCACCUGGGGAGUACGCCGGCAACGGUGAAACUCAAAGGAAUUGACGGGGGCCCGCACAAGCGGAGGAGCAUGUGGUUUAAUUCGAUGAUACGCGAGGAACCUUACCAGGGCUUGAAAGUUAGGGAAUAACUCUGAAAGGAGUUAGUCAGCAAUGACCCGAAACUAGGUGCUGCAUGGCUGUCGUCAGCUCGUGCCGUGAGGUGUUGGGUUAAGUCCCGCAACU
rnacentral:rRNA from 1 species